CAACAGCGUAUAUUAAAGUUGUUGCAGUUAAAACGCUCGUAGUCGGAUUUCGGGGCGGGCGGGCCGGUCUGCCGAUGGGUAUGCACUGGUCUGGCCGUCCUUCCUUCCGGAGACCGUGCGUGCUCUUAACUGAGUGCGCUCGGGAGACGGAUCGUUUACUUUGAAAAAAUCAGAGUGUUUCAAGCAGGCAGCUCGCUCUUGCAUGGAUUAGCAUGGGAUAAUGAAAUAGGACUUUGGUGCUAUUUUGUUGGUUUCGAACACCGAAGUAAUGAUUAACAGGGACAGUCAGGGGCACUCGUAUUCCGCCGAGAGAGGUGAAAUUCUCAGACCAGCGGAAGACGAACCACUGCGAANGNAUUUGCNAGGGAUGUUUNCACUG
rnacentral:rRNA from 1 species